ACAGUGGUGGUUCAGUGGUAGAAUUCUCACCUUCCAUGCGGGAGAGCCAGGUUCGAUUCCUGGCCAGUA
rnacentral:tRNA from 1 species